GACGUAGGGCGCGAGCGUUGUCCGGAUUUAUUGGGCGUAAAGAGCUCGUAGGCGGCUUGUUGCGUCAGCUGUGAAAACCCGCAGCUCAACUGUGGGCUUGCAGCUGAUACGGGCAGGCUUGAGUUCGGUAGGGGAGACUGGAAUUCCCGGUGUAGCGGUGAAAUGCGCAGAUAUCGGGAAGAACACCCGUGGCGAAGGCGGCUCUCUGGGACGGUACUGACGCUGAGACGCGAAAGCGUGGGGAGCGAACAGG
rnacentral:rRNA from 1 species